UGGCUCAGGAUGAACGCYGGCGGUGUGCCUAAUACAUGCAAGUCGAACGCGUUGGCCCAAUUGAUUGAYGGUGCUUGCACCUGAUUGAUUUUGGUCGCCAACGAGUGGCGGACGGGUGAGUAACACGUAGGUAACCUGCCCAGAAGCGGGGGACAACAUUUGGAAACAGAUGCUAAUACCGCAUAACARCGUUGUUCGCAUGAACAACGCUUAAAAGAUGGCUUCUCGCUAUCACUUCUGGAUGGACCUGCGGUGCAUUAGCUUGUUGGUGGGGUAACGGCCUACCAAGGCGAUGAUGCAUAGCCGAGUUGAGAGACUGAUCGGCCACAAUGGGACUGAGACACGGCCCAUACUCCUACGGGAGGCAGCAGUAGGGAAUCUUCCACAAUGGGCGCAAGCCUGAUGGAGCAACACCGCGUGAGUGAAGAAGGGUUUCGGCUCGUAAAGCUCUGUUGUUAAAGAAGAACACGUAUGAGAGUAACUGUUCAUACGUUGACGGUAUUUAACCAGAAAGUCACGGCUAACUACGUGCCAGCAGCCGCGGUAAUACGUAGGUGGCAAGCGUUAUCCGGAUUUAUUGGGCGUAAAGAGAGUGCAGGCGGUUUUCUAAGUCUGAUGUGAAAGCCUUCGGCUUAACCGGAGAAGUGCAUCGGAAACUGGAUAACUUGAGUGCAGAAGAGGGUAGUGGAACUCCAUGUGUAGCGGUGGAAUGCGUAGAUAUAUGGAAGAACACCAGUGGCGAAGGCGGCUACCUGGUCUGCAACUGACGCUGAGACUCGAAAGCAUGGGUAGCGAACAGGAUUAGAUACCCUGGUAGUCCAUGCCGUAAACGAUGAGUGCUAGGUGUUGGAGGGUUUCCGCCCUUCAGUGCCGGAGCUAACGCAUUAAGCACUCCGCCUGGGGAGUACGACCGCAAGGUUGAAACUCAAAGGAAUUGACGGGGGCCCGCACAAGCGGUGGAGCAUGUGGUUUAAUUCGAAGCUACGCGAAGAACCUUACCAGGUCUUGACAUCUUGCGCCAACCCUAGAGAUAGGGCGUUUCCUUCGGGAACGCAAUGACAGGUGGUGCAUGGUCGUCGUCAGCUCGUGUCGUGAGAUGUUGGGUUAAGUCCCGCAACGAGCGCAACCCUUGUUACUAGUUGCCAGCAUUAAGUUGGGCACUCUAGUGAGACUGCCGGUGACAAACCGGAGGAAGGUGGGGACGACGUCAGAUCAUCAUGCCCCUUAUGACCUGGGCUACACACGUGCUACAAUGGACGGUACAACGAGUCGCGAACUCGCGAGGGCAAGCAAAUCUCUUAAAACCGUUCUCAGUUCGGACUGCAGGCUGCAACUCGCCUGCACGAAGUCGGAAUCGCUAGUAAUCGCGGAUCAGCAUGCCGCGGUGAAUACGUUCCCGGGCCUUGUACACACCGCCCGUCACACCAUGAGAGUUUGUAACACCCAAAGUCGGUGGGGUAACCUUUUAGGAGCCAGCCGCCUAAGGUGGGACAGAUGAUUAGGGUGAAGUCGUAACAAGGUAACC
rnacentral:rRNA from 2 species